rnacentral:rRNA from 1 species
UACGUAGGGCGCAAGCGUUGUCCGGAAUUAUUGGGCGUAAAGGGCGCGUAGGCGGCUCUAUAAGUCAAAGGUGAAAUCCCUCGGCUCAACUGAGGAACUGCCUUUGAAACUGUAAAGCUUGAGGCCGGGAGGGGGUAGCGGAAUUCCCAGUGUAGCGGUGAAAUGCGUAGAUACUGGGAGGAACACCAGUGGCGAAGGCGGCUACCUGGACCGGUUCUGACGCUGAGGCGCGAAAGCGUGGGUAGCAAACAGG